GAUGAACGCUAGCUACAGGCUUAACACAUGCAAGUCGAGGGGAAACGGCAUUAAGUGCUUGCACUUUUUGGACGUCGACCGGCGCACGGGUGAGUAACGCGUAUCCAACCUUCCCAUGACUAAGGGAUAACCUGCCGAAAGGCAGACUAAUACCUUAUGGUCUUCACUGACGGCAUCAGAUGUGAAGUAAUGAUUUAUCGGUUAUGGAUGGGGAUGCGUCUGAUUAGCUUGUUGGCGGGGUAACGGCCCAUCAAGGCAACGAUCAGUAGGGGUUCUGAGAGGAAGGUCCCCCACAUUGGAACUGAGACACGGUCCAAAAUCCUACGGGAGGCAGCAGUGAGGAAUAUUGGUCAAUGGGCGAGAGCCUGAACCAGCCAAGUAGCGUGCAGAAGGACGGCCCUAUGGGUUGUAAACUGCUUUUGUAUGGGGAUAAAGUCAAUCACGUGUGAUUGUUUGCAGGUACCAAAAGAAUAAGGACCGGCUAAUUCCGUG
rnacentral:rRNA from 1 species